CCUACGGGAGGCAGCAGUGAGGAAUAUUGGUCAAUGGACGGGAGCCUGAACCAGCCAAGCAGCGUGAGGGAUGACGGAACAGUGUAUGGUAAACUUCUUUUGUCUGGGCAUAAAACAGGGUAUUCCUCCCCGCUUGUAUGUACCAUAAGAAUAAGGAUCGGCUAACUCCGUGCCAGCAGCCGCGGUAAUACGGAGGAUCCGAUCGUUUUCCGGUGUUAUUGGGUUUAAAGGGAGCGGAGGGGGAUUGUUAAGUCCGUUGUGAAAGGUUGCGGGUUAAACGUAACAGUGCAGUUGAAACUGGCAGGCUGGAGUAGAGGAGAGGUGCGCGGAAUGCGCGGUGUAGCGGUGAAAUGCUUAGAUAUCGCGAAGAACCCCGAUUGCGAAGGCAGAUCACCGGA
rnacentral:rRNA from 1 species